rnacentral:rRNA from 1 species
GAGAAGCUUGCUUUUCAUGAGAGUGGCGCACGGGUGCGUAACACGUAUGUAACCUACCUUAUCCAGGGGGAUAGCCUCUCGAAAGAGAGAUUAACACCGCAUAACAUUAUUGAACAGCAUUGUUUAAUAAUCAAAUAUUUAUAGGGAUAAGAUGGGCAUGCGGGACAUUAGCUAGUUGGCGGGGUAACGGCCCACCAAGGCGACGAUGUCUAGGGGAUCUGAGAGGAUGACCCCCCACACUGGUACUGAGACACGGACCAGACUCCUACGGGAGGCAGCAGUAAGGAAUAUUGGUCAAUGGGCGCAAGCCUGAACCAGCCAUGCCGCGUGCAGGAAGACGGCCCUACGGGUUGUAAACUGCUUUUGCAGGGGAAUAAACCCCGGUACGUGUACCGGGUUGAAUGUACUCUGAGAAUAAGGAUCGGCUAACUCCGUGCCAGCAGCCGCGGUAAUACGGAGGAUCCAAGCGUUAUCCGGAUUUAUUGGGUUUAAAGGGUGCGUAGGCGGCCUAUUAAGUCAGGGGUGAAAGACGGUAGCUUAACUAUCGCAGUGCCUUUGAUACUGAUGGGCUUGAAUACACUAGAGGUAGGCGGAAUGUGACAAGUAGCGGUGAAAUGCAUAGAUAUGUCACAGAACACCAAUUGCGAAGGCAGCUUACUAUGGUGUGAUUGACGCUGAGGCACGAAAGCGUGGGGAUCAAACAGGAUUAGAUACCCUGGUAGUCCACGCCCUAAACGAUGAACACUCGAUGUUAGCGAUAUACAGUUAGCGUCUAAGCGAAAGCGUUAAGUGUUCCACCUGGGGAGUACGCCCGCAAGGGUGAAACUCAAAGGAAUUGACGGGGGCCCGCACAAGCGGAGGAGCAUGUGGUUUAAUUCGAUGAUACGCGAGGAACCUUACCCGGGCUUGAAAGUUAGUGAAUGAUUCAGAGACGGAUCAGUCCUUCGGGACACGAAACUAGGUGCUGCAUGGCUGUCGUCAGCUCGUGCCGUG